rnacentral:rRNA from 1 species
CUAGUUAAGCAUCUCACUUACACCGAGAAGACACUCAUGCAAAUUGAGUCGCCCUGAGCCAAACAGCUAGCUUAAUUACCUCAUAACUUAAAAAUAUAAAUAAAACAAAAUAAACUAAACACCAAAAACUAAACCAUUCUUUUACCUGAGUAUGGGCGACAGAAAAGGUCCAACAAAGCAAUAGAGAUAGUACCGCAAGGGAAAGCUGAAAGAGAAAUGAAAUAACCCAUACAAGCACAAAAAAGCAAAGACUAAACCUUGUACCUUUUGCAUCAUGAUUUAGCCAGCACAUUCAAGCAAAGAGACCUUUAGUUUGAAACCCCGAAACCAGAUGAGCUACCCCGAGACAGCCUACUAAGGGCUAACCCGUCUCUGUGGCAAAAGAGUGGGAAGAACUCCGGGUAGAAGUGACAGACCUACCGAACCUGGUGAUAGCUGGUUGCCUAAGAAAUGAAUAGAAGUUCAGCCUCAUUUACCUCUAGCCAAACUAACAUAUAAACAAGAAUUAUAGAGAAACAUAUGAGAGUUAGUUAAAGGGGGUACAGCCCCUUUAACAAAGGAUACAACCUUCUCAGGAGGAUAAAGAUCAUAAUAUCCAAAACACACCGUUCUAGUGGGCCUAAAAGCAGCCACCUAAACAGAAAGCGU